CUGGACAUUUCAGUAAAUCUUGGACACGGCGGGGAAUUUCUAUUUGUGAUGGUUGACAAUUGACAUUGAUGACUACCAUUUGCAGUGACUGAUGAGUCUAAAGCUGAUGAUCUGAUCUUGUCGGGUUAUUUGCUAAAGAAUUUCCAAGUUUAGUCUGAUUAUUCUCAUCAAAAUCCAUCAACUUCAUAAUAUCCGUUACUAGUAUUAAUCGUUGAAAUUUAAAGGUCGGGCAACUCAAGAUGAGGUGGGAUAAGUCGGCCUCAUUUCCUCCACAAUUCAGUCACAUAUCUAUAUAUUUGUGAAGUAUAAAGGUUAUACAGGAUUAGAGAUAAAGAAGACCCUUGCAUCAACCCUUUGAAUGCUAAUUUUGGACCAUGAAAAACAUUAUUGUAUUUAAUAUAUAAAAAAGGACCAUAAUACAUAUGGAAAAUCCAUUUUAAAAGCUUUCCUGGGAAGCCCAAAGAAUAUAGCACCCUAAUUAAUUGGUGAAGAUCUACAUUAUCAUAUGCCCCCUGAACAUCAAGGAAAACACAAAUUGCAGUAGAACCUGAUAACAAACACUUCUUCAUAUCAGUCAGAAACAUGUAGAUUUUGAAGCAUAAUAUAAGGAAUAUCAUCAAGACCAGGGGUUGUAUUCUUUCUUGAAGACAAAGCCAUGUCAAGUUCUUCAAAACAAAAAGACCUCGGCACAAGUAUCAUUCCAGCAAGGAGCUGGAGGAGCAGACUUUUUACUAGAAGAUUUAUGCUUUAACAAUGGAACACAGUUUUCUUUUAAACUAAGUAGUAAUUUAGAAAAUUCAUCAUAUUGAACUAAAGUAUCAAUUGUUGAAGGAGAAAAUUUAUCAAAUAUAUCUUUGGAUUUGUCAUUGUACAUAUUCCAGUUUGUUUUAUUAUAUAAAUACUUAUGUAUAGACUCUUGAACUGUAUAUUUUUUAGUUGAGGUAAUGAUGUUAACAAAAGUAGGUAAAUGAUAGCUCCCUAAAGAGUCAUCACCGACAUACCACUCACAAAGUGGUGCAAUAUGUGCAGGGCUAACACAAGUAACAUCAAUGGCUGAUGCAUUAUUACCAGGUCUAGAAAUAGUAGUAGGGUCACUAGAAUUUAAAAUACAUAAAUCAGCAUCAUCAAAUAUAUCAAAUAAUUCACGACCUCUUGAAUUGGUAGUAUCACAACCAAAAGCUAUAUUGUGAGCAUUAAAAUCACCAGAAAAAAGACAAGGCUUGGGUAAUUGCAAAAUAAUCUUUCUCAAAUUAAUCAAACUAAUUGAGCUAUUAUUUGACAAUAGUUGAACGUGACAACGUCAUAAAAAAAUAUUGAUGGGAUGGUUGCAUUUGUAAAAAAAAAAUUAAUUUAAUUUGUUUGAUAGGUAUUUUGUAUGGAUAUAGAGAAGGAAGUAAAUGGAAAUGGUAUAAAGCUAUUAUUUUAUUAUUAUAUUGUAUGAAUUGUAUAUGCACAAAGUAUAUAUAUAUUAUAUUGAGAGAUAUAGUUAGAAAUGUAUUUAUUUACAUGACUCAUUGACUUUCAGAGAACGUUCGGUAAAUUUUGGAAAAGAAGGGGACAGAUUUAGAAAUUUAAUAGAAAAACAUAAACACAUAUUAUUUAAUAAAAAGACAGACAGUACUAACAAUUUGCAAAAAAAGAGGGCAUGGAGUGCGAUUCAUGCAGAAUUUAAUGCCCUUUCAGAUAAUAAAUAUGAAAAAGAAAUUUUUGAGUUGCGUGUUCAACAUCUAAAUGAGAAGAGGAAGAAUGAUGAAAUCAUUUUUAAACUACAAAAAAAAAAUUACUUACUAUUAAUUAUACUAAAGGGAUGUAAGAUUGUAUGAAACUGCCAAUUCUAAUGUAAAAUGUAUGAAAAGUGGUAUUUACCUUUACAAAAAAAAAAAUUAACUUACUAUAACUUGUUUAUGAUCAGAAUUACUUGAAACUUAGUAUAAAUGCUCUUCAAAAUAAUUAAACAGUUGUGUGUAUCAAUGUAAUAAAAUUAGUGUAAAAAAUUAUAAAAACUGUAAAGAAAUAGAUUUUUAAGAUGAAUUAAUUCUUAUGUGCAUAGGCAGGCAUAACUAUGUAAUGUUGUAAUUCGGUAAUAAAAAGGCAUAUUAUUUU